GAACGCUGGCGGCAGGCCUAACACAUGCAAGUCGAGCGGAUGAGUGGAGCUUGCUCCAUGAUUCAGCGGCGGACGGGUGAGUAAUGCCUAGGAAUCUGCCUGGUAGUGGGGGACAACGUUUCGAAAGGAACGCUAAUACCGCAUACGUCCUACGGGAGAAAGUGGGGGAUCUUCGGACCUCACGCUAUCAGAUGAGCCUAGGUCGGAUUAGCUAGUUGGUGAGGUAAAGGCUCACCAAGGCGACGAUCCGUAACUGGUCUGAGAGGAUGAUCAGUCACACUGGAACUGAGACACGGUCCAGACUCCUACGGGAGGCAGCAGUGGGGAAUAUUGGACAAUGGGCGAAAGCCUGAUCCAGCCAUGCCGCGUGUGUGAAGAAGGUCUUCGGAUUGUAAAGCACUUUAAGUUGGGAGGAAGGGCAGUAAGUUAAUACCUUGCUG
rnacentral:rRNA from 2 species